CAACCCAAGUGACUAGGGCUUCAUCUUUUUCCUUCUUCUUCUUCUUGUUUUUUUUUUUUUUUUAAUUAUUAUUAUUAUCUUCCUCUGUUUUCUUCGUGAACCCCAUUCACCAUGGCCGCCCUUCACGAAGCUUGCGCCGUCGCCGGUCUUCGGUAAACCUUUGCAUUUUUCUAACGAAACUUGCAACCCCUUCCCCAAACUCUCGUCUCGGUUUGUCUCCACGAUCGUCGCCGGCGAAAGACUCCAUCAACGAUUUGUUCAAGCUCCCAUUCCGAUCCCUCUGCUAUCUCCGCUCGUCCCUUGCAUCGGAACCUUUUCCAGUUCAUCGUCUCCCACUUUCGAACCCUCAACCGCCGAUAUUCUCCUCGAAGAACAUUCGCCUCCGUCACUGAGAACACAUCCUUAUGAAAAUUGGACAUGCGCCGUCCCUGAGGUUUCUUCUCCCAUCGUCGCUGUUCGUACCUUCGCCGCCGGUGAUGGCCCUCGCCCAUGAUUUUAUUUUUCUCUGACCAUUCUUGCAAUCUUCGGCUUCUUCUCCAAAGCUUCACCUCCAACCACCCGCAUCGGUGCUUCCGGUAAUAGUCUUUAACGUUCUUCUCUUUUCUCUUCUUUCGAACCUUCAUUUUCUUUCAAUCGUUCCUCUUGUGCUUUCUUUUCUUUCCUCGUUUAUUUUCCGAUUUCUUCUUCAUCGUCCUCGCUCGAACUUCUUUGGUUCCAUAAUUCCUUUCUCUUUUUUUUAUCACCGCUUCUUCCGAUGAAGCUGACCCUCGAUCACCACCCAUCCAAGUCUCCAGGCGAUACAAAACCAAAUUCAACUGUUCCGACAGAAAAUCAAGCCUUCCGUUAAACUUCUUGAAUUGCAGAUUUAUCUUUGAUUCCAAUGUCGCUUGCCUCUCUUCCAACUCCAGCACUUUCUCUUCCAGUUGAAAUAUAGAAAGUAACAUAAAUACAAGAUAAGCCAAGUGUUGGAGGGAAUGGCGAAGUUCAGGGAUAGGACUGAAGAUUUCAAAGAUGUUGUGCGGCACGGUGCUAUUUCGUUAGAGUAUAGUGAGUCCAAGUUGGCGGCUAUUAUGGCAUCUUUCAUCAUUCAGAAACCUCGGAAAAGGUCGCCUUUCAUCAAAGCUUCCCUGAAAACGCUUGAAAGCAUUGCUGCUCUUGAAGAGUUUAUGUUGAAACAUCAAAAAGACUAUGUAGAUAUGUAUCGCACAACAGAUCAAGAGAGAGACAAUAUUGAACAUGAGGUAACUGCCUUCAUCAAAGCAUGCCAGGAACAACUUGAUAUCCUAAAAAACAGCAUUAAUGAGGAUGAUGUACGCUCAAAGGGAUGGCUUGGUCCUAGGACUGAGGAUUCCAAUGCUGAUACUAUUGCACACAAACAUGGGGUGGUUCUAAUUUUGAGUGAAAAACUCCAUUCGGUAACAUCACAAUUUGAUAAGCUAAGAGCCAUUCGGUUUCAAGAUAUCAUAAGCAAAGCUGUACCAAGAAGAAAACUGAACCAAGUAAAUAAACCACGUUCUGCCAAUACCCCUGAGUAUAAUAAUACAGAGCUGAGCGAACCUGAUAAUUUUGAGCAUCAACCUAUCCGAGCCCAACAACUGUUGGAUGACGAAACUCGUGCACUUCAGGUUGAGUUGACUAGUCUUCUCGACGCAGUCCAAGAAACAGAAACUAAGAUGGUAGAGAUGUCUGCUUUAAAUCACCUUAUGUCUACUCACGUUUUGCAGCAAGCACAACAAAUUGAACAUCUUUAUGAACAGGUAAAUAUCUUCUUUUUUUGGGGGGACCGUAUAACUAUCUUCCUUGAAGGAACUAAUCUACUCGAAGACUGGCUUUUCAUUUGCCAGUUGUUAUACUACAGGAGCAAACCAUCUGCCACUUCAAUUUCUCGAAGUUCCCAGCAUUCAUUUGUAGUUGCUGAAGCAUGAGGUUUUCCUGACCCAAGUGUACCAAACCAUGGCCUUUCUGUGUAUGACGAUGUGAUUUUCAGCCUCAAGACUUGCUUCCCUUCUUCUAGCUGUGCUUCUCAGUUCUUGCCAUCAGACUUGUGGCAGAUGCAACCAGGAUAAGGAUUAGCGUAGAAGUUCUCCUCCAGUUUUGAAGAUUUCCCUGGGCGUCUGGGAUAUGGGCUGAUGGUUUUUCGAAACCCUUCAAAUCUCCUGUGACCUUGGACAGCUUUAGCCAUGUUCCCAUCAUAGGUGUAAACGAAAACAUCACUCUCUACUGCUACAACGUAGUCUAAAGCAGCCAACUGGUUCUGAUAUU